rnacentral:rRNA from 1 species
GAUGAACGCUGGCGGCGUGCCUAAUACAUGCAAGUCGAGCGAACAGACGAGGAGCUUGCUCCUCUGACGUUAGCGGCGGACGGGUGAGUAACACGUGGAUAACCUACCUAUAAGACUGGGAUAACUUCGGGAAACCGGAGCUAAUAUCGGAUAAUAUAUUGAACCGCAUGGUUCAAUAGUGAAAGACGGUUUUGCUGUCACUUAUAGAUGGAUCCGCGCCGCAUUAGCUAGUUGGUAAGGUAACGGCUUACCAAGGCAACGAUGCGUAGCCGACCUGAGAGGGUGAUCGGCCACACUGGAACUGAGACACGGUCCAGACUCCUACGGGAGGCAGCAGUAGGGAAUCUUCCGCAAUGGGCGAAAGCCUGACGGAGAAACGCCGCGUGAGUGAUGAAGGUCUUCGGAUCGUAAAACUCUGUUAUUAGGGAAGAACAAAUGUGUAAGUAACUAUGCACGUCUUGACGGUACCUAAUCAGAAAGCCACGGCUAACUACGUG